ACGGCCUCCGUAUCUGGAAAAUUUUAAUAAGUAAAAUCAGCAAAGUGCGCUGGGUUCCUGCAGACCCUUGUUUUGUAAAGAAAUUUGGACUUGGGCAGGCGGCCAAGCGUGAUCUGAAACAGCCCACGUCCUCCACCCCGAGAACGGGAGGUUUAUAAAUUCUGAUUGCAUGGCGCGGAGUGCAGGCCCCGAGUGAUGAAAAGCAGCGACGGUGCACGCGCGGUAGCCAGCCUGCAGGGGGAUUAUCUUACACAUUUCAAAACUGCAUUUUUUUUUUUUCUUUUUUAAAAUACCAGAGGGCAAUGGUUUACAUGCAGGGCAGACUGCCCAGAACAGGGGAUUUAUGUUUCAUAUAUCGAGGUGAUUCUGCUAGUUUUCUGAGGUGGGGGAACCCAAAAUGACAUUUUAAAUAUAAAUACAAAGAGGCAAUUUGCAAUAGCUUGGGAAAAAACAGAGGAAGCCAGGGAGAGAAAUGCUUCGUGUCUCCCCUGAGACGAGAGCCAUUGGUGGGUGCCAGCUGAAGCUUCCCAGGCUCAGGCCCCUCUUCCCGGAGCCCCAGCCAGGCACGGAGCAGAGUACAGAGGACCUGGCAGAAUGUGCCAGAGCCCCACAAUACAGUCCAGAGGGGAAGGGGCUCAGC